UCUCCCUGUAAACCCUAACCAAAAACUUCAUCGCCGCUUUCAUUUUUGUGGCAAUCAGAGGUAACAUAGUUGGAUUCAAGUGAUGUUGGUUUGAUAUGCCGACCAUGAUUCAUCGCCGCUGAUGCUUUCUGAUUAUCCUACCGGUAAAGUUCACCGAUGAUGGUGGUUCUACUUUCUCAUUCAUCCAAUCCUACUGAUUGCUGCUUCACGGUUUUAGGUAAGAGAUUUAUGGCGAUUUGAUGAACAUUUCUGCUUCUUGGUGUUCUGGUAAGAGAUUCAUUACGCUUCAUCAUUUUCUUUCAUUCGGAAUGUUCUGCAAAGGUAAGCAUUAGGGUCGUUUUUUUAUUUCUUCAAUUAGGGCUUCAUUUUCUUAUGAUUAAAUUCUUCUGUUCGUUUAUGUUACAUAUAUAUGUGUCUUAAUUGCCAGGCUACGAGCAAAUGUAAGGGUUUUGAAGAACAUGAAAUUAGGGUUUAGUACUGAUUAGUACCGAUUUGGAUAUGGAAUUAAUUUUAAAUUAAUCCAGUAAUUCAAUCCCUUGAAUCAAAUAUAGAUAUUUAUCAUAUUCUGAUAUUCAUCUUAUCGUUAAUGAGAUGAAUGCUUGGAUUUCAAAAUUCGGUUUCAUUUAGUUUGCGUAACAAGAUAAUUUGCUUAAUGAAAAGUGAGAAGGAAAAGAAGUCAUAGGGUAACUGAAGGAUCUAUUACUAUUGUCCAUUCCAUUUCCGUCCAUUUCCGUGUCUUUUUCAUUCUUAUUACAUAUUUAUAUGUCACUGAACGAUGGGAUAAUGUAUCUAGAGACCAUGCGUUUUUUCAAACAAAUUUGUUAAGGCGGCCCAUAUUAAGAAAAAACAACUUUAUUGGCCACAAAAGUUUGUAUAUGUUUUUGUAUAUACCAAUUCCGCAAAACUAAUACUGGAAUAAUAUAAAAUGACAAAAACACCCCUAAUUUUUUACAAACUAAGUUAGUAUCGUAUAAUGAUCAAAAUCUGAAAAGCCACCCUUCUAUCAUUUCUAAGAAGAGAAAUAUGCAUUGUAAUGAAGGAUGUUUUAAGAGUUUUUUUAAAGUUAGAACUGUUUUAGCCAUUUUAUGAUUUUCCGGCACAAAUGUGACCUCAAUUUCUAUAAAGAAAAAAAGUACAUAUUUUCCUAUCAUGUAAGAUUGUUAUUACAAACAGGUCGCCUUAAUGAAAGUCAAUACUUGGAUAGCCUUCACACAUAUUAACUGUGUAUUAACUGUAUAACAUGCUUCAGCUGAUCGUCUUCUUCAUUGCAUUUUAUCUGAUUAACUACUAUUAUGUAUGUGGAAUCGUGGACUGCAAAAAUGGUAUUAGUUUUUUAGAUUUUAAGCUAAAGUAGCAGCCGAAGGUUUAUAAUCCAGUUUCCUUUGCAUUCAUAUAUACUAUCUUCUAUAAAAUUUGAAGAUUAAUGGGCUUUUGUUAAAUUUGCAGCUUUAUUUAAUGGGCUUUUGUGGAAUUAUGGAAUUAUCAUCGAUGAAAAUCAUUGUCCAUCAUUCUACAGCGGUUUUUUAUUUUUUAUUUUGAGUUAUAUAAUCUGCACAUCCUUUCAUGAACUAUCAUGCUUUUGUUUUAUGCAUGAAUUAUCAUACUGUUGUUUUAUGCUUUUCAAGACUGAUAUAAUCCGAUUUGGGUUCCUUAAUCGACAGAUUUGAAGCUCUUUGGGUUUUGGUCAAAGUUGUCAUAUAUACAAUCAAUGAGAUUCAUAUUCAUCGAUCGAUUAAAGAGGAAGAGUACAUCAUCAAAUUGAAGGUAUCCUAACAUGUCAGAAGAGGAAUUUGCUGAGUGCUGCCCUGUUUGCCUUGACAAUUGCAACUGUAAAGCGUGCUUGCGUGAUGUGCACCCUAAAGUCAAGAAAAAGAUUGAUUUUAAACCUAGCAGUGAGCAGAAGUAAAUUAAUGUGAUUCGGAUCGGGUUAGAGGGUAUAACGGUUAAUGAUGCAAAUAAGUAAGAUAUAUAAUGACUGAUUUGAUUAAUGAGGUUUUUGAUUGUUUGGUUUAACGAGUUGAUGUUUUGAUUGUAGACCGUUUAAUGGAGUCUGUUCUAUGCUCGAGGAUAUGCUGUGUUGAAUAAAGAUGAGUUGGUUCAGUUGGCAUUUGAUGCUAUUUAGUUAGUCAAUUCGAUGUAGAUGAAUUUUUACGCAAUUUGCAAUCCAGGUUUAUUUUUUUUUGUUUAAAUACAGUUAAAUAAAUCAUGUGCUUUUGAGCAAUUUUAUGAUAUUUGGACCUUUUGUGCCACCGUCAUCUGGACUAUUUGCGCCACUGUCAUCUGGACCUUUUGGGCCAGCACCGUCAUCCGGACCUUUUGCGCCAGUACCGUCAUCCGGACCUUUUGCGCCAGUACCGUCAUCCGGACCGUCUGCACUGUAUGCACCAGCACCAUCAUCCGGACCAUCUGCAUCAGCACCAUCAUCCGGACUGUCUGCACCAGCACCAUCAUUCGGACCACCUGCACCGUCAUCCGUACUGUCUGCACCAGCACCGUCAUCCGUACCCUAUGCACCAGCACCAUCACCAUCAUCUGGACCAUCCACACCAGAACCUGCACCAGCGCCGGCCCCUGCACCAGCACCGUCAUCUGAACCGUCGGCACCAGUUUCGGAUCCUACAGAAACUCAGCCUCCAAUAUUACCAUUACCAACUCAAACUGGUAAUCAUUCAAAGGGCUGAUCUUUUGACUUUCCUAAAAAAGGAAUGUGAAGAGCUCGGUGCUACUAUUAUAUAUGCUACACACAUAUUUGAUGGCCUUGAGAAUUGGCCUUCACACAUCGUUUAUGUUGCUCAUGGGAAGUUGUAGUUAGCAUCGACUAUGGAAGAGGUCAAAAAGAUGAGCAACCUAUCUUUAAUGAGAACAGUAGACCAAUGGCUGAGGAAAGAAAGAGACAAGGAGAGCAAGAGAAGGAAAGAGCGAAAAGCAAACGGACUUUCAGAAUUUGAUAGGCGUGUUGAUGGAACAAGGGUAAGUGGGGACCUGGUUCGUGUGGUCAACAACGUUUGUGCUGCUGGUAGGCUGAAUUCCACAGUUGCCGGUGAAGAGAAUUUCGUGUAUAGUUCAAACAUGGUUAUUAGACAAUAGUCAAAAUUGAAAUCCAAGACAGUAUCAAACAUCAUUGAAUCUUACUAUGAAGGUUUGUAAAAUGGUACCGGGGUACCGGUAGCGAAUUUCCGAACCGACAUAAUUUUCUGCAAUGAUAUUUAGCGUUUUUUGUACCGGUACAGUGCGGUACCUUCAAAUACUGGUCUGUACCGGUACCAAACCAUACCGGGUAUUUUCGGUACGAGUAUUGAUACCCAUUUUUUGGGAUUUUAGGUACCGGUUGGUACCGAGCUAUCCGUAGGAUAUAGAGGCUCAGGUUUUAAACAGAUUCAGGAAAUCAUUUUGUUAGGCUUUGUUUAAGACACAGUUAAUUUUUGAUCUUUUAAAUGAAAAGUAUUAACGUUAAAGUAUAUAAGAUUACUGAUUUAUUAUGUAUCUACUAAUUAGUAUGGUUGCUUAAAUUGCCAACAAGAAUAACUAUUUGUGUAUGGUACAAUUUUCGCCAUAUAGCCGACCCAUUGAUUGUUCCUUUUAAUAUUUCUCAUUCUAUGUAAUCACAAACAUCAUUCUACAACCGAUAGAGUAAUUUUAUGUGGUUUAUUUUUGUUCCGGCACUUUUUGCUAAAAAAGUAAGGUGUGUUCGUUCAUAUUCUUGAAUCAUUUACAACAAAUUAAGUCG